UACGUAGGGUGCGAGCGUUGUCCGGAAUUACUGGGCGUAAAGAGCUCGUAGGUGGUUUGUCGCGUUGUCCGUGAAAACUCACAACUCAAUUGUGGGCGUGCGGGCGAUACGGGCAGACUGGAGUACUGCAGGGGAGACUGGAAUUCCUGGUGUAGCGGUGGAAUGCGCAGAUAUCAGGAGGAACACCGGUGGCGAAGGCGGCCUGCUGGGCAGUGGCUGACACUGAGGCGCGACAGCGUGGGGAGCAAACAGG
rnacentral:rRNA from 1 species